UUGUGAACAAUUCUUGUGUUCUGGAGUUACAUAAAAGAUUCGAUAUAUUGUUGACCUUGGCUAAAAACAGUCGAAAACCUCUCUCUCUCUCUCUAUCUCAACUCAAUCUAUCUGUAUUCGUCAUCUGUUUCCGUGAUCUAUUUGGCUCCAUCUGACAUCUCGAUUUUAUAAUUUAUGCUGAGCAAGUGCUUGAUAUUUCCACGACAUAUUACAAUUCUCCUGUGUUU